GGGGCAGGCCGGGCAAUCGCGGGACGUGCAGACGUUUCGAGGAAGGUCCGGACUCCACAGGGUGCGAUAGCGGCUAACGGCCGUCCGGCAAGGUGACACGUCUGUGUCAUCAAGCUGAGGAACAGGGCCACAGAGACGAGUCUGGCGCGAGGGUAUGCAUCACUUGCAUACACCGCCAUGGUGCAACCAUGGCGCAUGACCUUAACGGGUCAACGCGGCAGGGUGAAACGCGGCAACCUCUAUCGGGAGCAACACCAAAUAGGCAUGUGUUCGCUUCAUUGAAGCGUGUAGGACGACCCGUCCGAGCAUGCGGGUAGGUGGCUAGAGUGAUGCAGUAAUGUAUCGCCAAGAUGAAUGAUUGCCAGCAGACACUGUUUGCUUACAGAAUCCGGCCUACAGGCCUGUUCCGCAC
rnacentral:RNase_P_RNA from 1 species